AAGCGUGGGGAGCAAACAGGAUUAGAUACCUGGUAGUCCACGCCGUAAACGAUGAGUGCUAAGUGUUAGGGGGUUUCCCCCUUUAGUGCUGCAGCUAACGCAUUAAGCACUCCGCUGGGGAGUACGACCGCAAGGUUGAAACUCAAAGGAAUUGACGGGGGCCCGCACAAGCGGUGGAGCAUGUGGUUUAAUUCGAAGCAACGCGAAGAACCUUACCAGGUCUUGACAUCCUUUGACAACUCUAGAGAUAGAGCUUUCCCUUCGGGGACAAAGUGACAGGUGGUGCAUGGUUGUCGUCAGCUCGUGUCGUGAGAUGUUGGGUUAAGUCCCGCAGCGAGCGCAACCCUUAUUGUUAGUUGCCAUCAUUCAGUUGGGCACUCUAGCGAAACUGCCGGUGACAAACCGGAGGAAGGUGGGGAUGACGUCAAAUCAUCAUGCCCCUUAUGACCUGGGCUACACACGUGCUACAAUGGACAGUACAAUGAGCAGCGACACGGCGACGUGAAGCGAAUCUCAUAAAGCUGUUCUCAGUUCGGAUUGUAGGCUGCAACUCGCCUACAUGAAGCCGGAAUCGCUAGUAAUCGCGGAUCAGCACGCCGCGGUGAAUACGUUCCCGGGCCUUGUACACACCGCCCGUCACACCACGAAAGUUUGUAACACCCAAAGUCGGUGAGGUAACCUUCGGGAGCCAGCCGCCUAAGGUGGGAUAGAUGAUUGGGGUGAAGUCGUAACAAGGUAACCA
rnacentral:rRNA from 1 species